AUUGAACGCUGGCGGCAGGCCUAACACAUGCAAGUCGAGCUGAGCGGCGGACGGGUGAGUAAUGCCUAGGAAUCUGCCUGCUCGUGGGGGAUCACGUCCUGAAACGGGCGCUAAUACCGCAUACUAUCAGAUGAGCCUAGGUCGGAUUAGUUAGUUGGUGGGGUAAAGGCCUACCAAGGCGACGGGACGUAACUGGUCUGAGAGGAUGAUCAGUCACACUGGAACUGAGACACGGUCCAGACUCCUACGGGAGGCAGCAGUGGGGAAUAUUGGACAAUGGGCGAAAGCCUGAUCCAGCCAUGCCGCGUGUGUGAAGAAGGUCUUCGGAUUGUAAAGCACUUUAAGUUGGGAGGCGUUACCAACAGAAUAAGCACCGGCUAACUUCGUGCCAGCAGCCGCGGUAAUAC
rnacentral:rRNA from 1 species